GGCGCAUUAGCUCAAUCGGCAGAGCAUCCCGCUCAUAACGGGACGGUUCCGGGUUCAAUCCCCCGAUGCGCCACCA
rnacentral:tRNA from 1 species